GACAUUUUGGAGCACGGGGUACAAACAGACAGAGAAGCUACAGCGAACGUUUGCUGUGGAGAGCAGUCACGGCAGAUGGCUGCCCUCCCAGAGUCUGCUUCUACCGGAGACGUCCUACUGUUAAAAGGUUCCUUCUGCUCAUAGAGAAUAGUUAUGUCAUAGAGGUUUCCAUCUAAAAUACUGAAAGAUGGCUGGAGGGACGUGUCUGCGUUUGAUCCACAGAUGCUGGCAGGCUGAGCCCCGGCAGGCAAACAAGAGCAGGGAAUCUCAUCCUCUGUUUCCAGCUUCCAGGGACCGGCUCCAGGUGUAAGGCAGGAACAAGGACUGAAUGAUGGGAGAACUAGCCUGGCAUGUUCUUUACAGCGGGGGAAACAAAGACCUAAGACUGAAACCAUGAACCCUCCACAGCGUCCAGGGUUCAUUGCCCACUCUCCAUAUCUGAAUUCCAUGAGCCUCAUAGACUGCCCUUCCAGUACACAUUGUAUAUAUGACCCCACUGCACUACAAGCUUGUUUGUUCUAAUUUACAUGCCCCAACCUCGCUCCCUCUUUCAAAUCAUUCACCUCCCAUUAGUACACGGUGUUCUGUCUGGUUCUGGAGCUGCACCAGUCCCCUCUGACUCCUUCCUCAAACCACAGCUUACACCAUCUGCCAUUGUGUGCUAGAAAUGCUGUCAAUUUCUUGGUCCUGUCCCAGAUACAUCUGGCUAAUAAGCAUUCUGUAGUGACGCAUGCUGGUUUGAUUGAAGUUUGCUCAAAGUGAAAAGAAACCAAACCAUCAACUGAUUUUGGAACAGAGAAAUUAAAGUAUAUGUGUGAAAAUGCAUUUAAAUGCCAUUUAAGGCAUUUUUAUCUGACAUCAGCUGAUGACCUAAACAGCUUGUUUUUGUUCGAUGGCUUUCUCCAAAAGUUGUAGACCUAAAAUGUUACUGCAAGCAUAAAUGAAGUUGAUUGUUUCUCCUCUGGGAGACUUAAAAUUUGGGACUCUCCACCAAUAGUACUUCUUGGAUGAAAUGUCUUCAAGAAACCUAAAGAAGUCCAGAUGCUUUUCUUUCCAAGCUCCUUAGACUACGCCCAAAUGCGUGCACAUGGAAUUUGCUGCAAAGAUCCCUAAAACACAGUCAAGACAACAAAUAUAAACUAAUAUGGAUGAAACCCCCCCCCAAAACAGUUAUCUUGUGACUGUGAUGAUUUAUCUGUGAGGGCACAUUUGGUGUUAUGGUCUCUAAAUAAAACGCCUCAUCUAAAUAUAGUAAAUCAAGCUGUAGAUUAUUGUGAUAUUUUUGCGAGUGUGUGUUUGUUUGUGGCUUUGAGUUUCAAUAUGUAUUUACAUGAAGCUGAAUAAUACUCAGUGUUCCUGCGUGAGGAGGUGGUAAGACAAAGGGUCAUCAACACGCACCUUCAGCACAGACUGCAAGCUCUGCCAAUGCAUACAUGAAACAGUGCAGCGAAGAACGUCUCUGUCACACUAAUUAGCCUUAAUUUACAUCAUUUAGAUGGAUCGGAAAAUCCAUCUCUACAUGAUUUAAGUAGGUGCUCGUGCUAUUUCAGUGGGAUAUUCUAUGGCAUAUAAAGACAUAUCUGGUGGUGCGUUCAAUAAAAAGCAGUCCAUGCUGUGUUUAGGGAAGAUUAAGAGAGUCUGCAUCUGUGCUGUCAGACCACUGCUGUGUGGGGCACUUAGACGAUAGAUUGGUUUAUUAUUUAAGACAAAAUAACUAUUUGGCUUUUGAGCAUUGAGCAGUAUUGUCUGAUUAUUUAUCUAUUUUUUUGUAAGCAUACAUUUGGUCUUGAUGUUGCUAUUUUAUCCACACACGAUGAAACUAGUGCACUGGAGCAGGAGCAACCUCCCAGCGUAAAACCAUCUGCCCCCUUAUACUGCUGCAAAUGUCCUAGAACCAAUCUGCUGUGGCCCAGUAAAGAGUUCAGUUUGAGUUUUGACAUGGAUUGAAGAAUGUAUUUUUGUGGCAUGCUGUGAACAUGGAUUGGCUCUGUGUGUGAAAACAAAAUAAAUAUUUAUGAAACCGG